rnacentral:rRNA from 1 species
UCGAGCGAUCUGCCUUGAAGAUCGGAGUGCUUGCACUCUGUGAAACAAGAUACAGGCUAGCGGCGGACGGGUGGGUAACACGUGGGUAACCUGCCCAAGAGAUCGGGAUAACACCUGGAAACAGAUGCUAAUACCGGAUAACAACAGAUGAUGCCUAUCAACUGUUUAAAAGAUGGUUCUGCUAUCACUCUUGGAUGGACCUGCGGUGCAUUAGCUAGUUGGUAGGGUAACGGCCUACCAAGGCGAUGAUGCAUAGCCGAGUUGAGAGACUGAUCGGCCACAUUGGGACUGAGACACGGCCCAAACUCCUACGGGAGGCAGCUGUAGGGAAUCUUCCACAAUGGACGCAAGUCUGAUGGAGCAACGCCGCGUGAGUGAAGAAGGGUUUCGGCUCGUAAAGCUCUGUUGUUGGUGAAGAAGGACAGGGGUAGUAACUGACCUUUGUUUGACGGUAAUCAAUUAGAAAGUCACGGCUAACUACGUGCCAGCAGCCGCGGUAAUACGUAGGUGGCAAGCGUUGUCCGGAUUUAUUGGGCGUAAAGCGAGUGCAGGCGGCUCGAUAAGUCUGAUGUGAAAGCCUUCGGCUCAACCGGAGAAUUGCAUCAGAAACUGUCGAGCUUGAGUACAGAAGAGGAGAGUGGAACUCCAUGUGUAGCGGUGAAAUGCGUAGAUAUAUGGAAGAACACCGGUGGCGAAGGCGGCUCUCUGGUCUGUUACUGACGCUGAGGCUCGAAAGCAUGGGUAGCGAACAGGAUUAGAUACCCUGGUAGUCCAUGCCGUANACGAUGAGUGCUAAGUGGUUGGGAGGUUUCCGCCUCUCAGUGCUGCAGCUAACGCAUUAAGCAC